CUGGAGGCAGGACAUAGCUGAACAUUCUGACAUCUAUUAUGAGCAACAUGCCUGUCCCUGCAGGGUCAUGGGGACUGACUGACUAAGGUCCCCUGAGAGGACAUAUUGCGCUCUUCUUCCCACACCAGGAAAGACUGAGACGUAACAAUGCUUGUGGAAGUGAGAGAACAACUGCUAGACAAUUUCCGUGAAGAUUCAGCGAGAGGCUACUUAAAAUGAUGUAACUCAUGGGCGACAGUAGCUUCCGUUCCCUUUGCUUGACACACACCAAACUGCGUACACUGAAGGGAAUCAGAUGUACGACUCUGAGAGCCACUCUCCAGUGAGCUUUGACCUCUACAAAGGACAAAAACUGACAUGGAGAGCUGCCAAUGUCGUUACUUCAGGAAGAAACCUAGGCAAGGAAUUCGUAACAGUCCUUUUAUGAACUGAAUCAGGUCAAGGAGUCACAUAUAGAAGAAAGACCUAUGGGAAGAAUUUAAUCACAUAUCUCAGCACACAGAUAAUCAUGAACCACUCCAAAUUCAUUUCCUCCUCCAUGGGAGGAGUGUGUUUUCUUACCUGGUAGCUUCUGGGCAUGGGCAGGUGACAAAGCUUGGCCAACAAAAUUGCAGCAGGUGUUGAAGUGUCCUCCAAAAACAGGAGCUCAGAGUCACUGGAAGUCCCCCACAUCCACCAGCUGUGGUGGACUCCUGCCCUCCUCCUUGAGAAGGUCACAUUGAAGGUCACCUCCCUUCUUUGGAAUCUUGAGAUGAGAAAACAGGUUAGGCCUUCCUGAACUAACACGUAUUUCAUAGUGUUAAGGGGAUCUUGUUGCCAUAAGUCAUUCUGGAAGAAGAGAAUAGUGAGGAGCUGUAGUGGUCUUGAAGUUCACCCUGCAGACCCUGACAUGCUCCUGCUCCCUGGGUAGGGGGUGCUCAUCAACCCCCAUUCUUAUCCCUGGAGUAAACCCUUACAGCAUCGUUCUUUGGGCAACAGAAUCCAAACUUCAAGUCUCUUUCUUUCCACGAAAAAGCAAAUGCAAUGUAAAACUACUUUCAGCCACUGGAAAUAAUGUUUUGGAAUUACUUGAAAAUAUGAGAUUUGUGUGCAAUGUCUUUUUUAGAGAUAACAAGGCAGAUGUCAAAAUAUAAAGUACAAUGAUUCCAAUGUUGAAAUUAGAACUAGCUUGUACUUUCUUGGUGUUUGCUUGAUUUUCCAUAUUAUAUAUAAUUUUUUUUCCAACAGAAAGUAACACUAAGGAUCACUCUGAAGGAUGAAACAUGAGAAAGCAUCCUGGAAGUCAGAGGCUAUGUGAUAAUCUUGGUGCAGACACUGCCGUGACUACAGUUCCUUUUUGAAUUGUCAAACAUGUUCAGUUUUAAAAUCGCUAUUUUAUGUUGUUACCUUUAAUUUUAGGCCAUCAUUUAAAAACAAAUGUGGUUCAUAACUUUAACACUCAAAUAACCAGAAUAAAAGCAGUUGGAGUACUUUGUAUGACUCAGAUUGUGCACUCCAGUGCUAAAGGCAGUUGGUUGGAGGCUGAUCCUCAUUUCACAGCCCGGUGGAAGAGCUGGGGAGGACUCUUCCUACCCUGUCAAAUGUAAGAAGGAAAUUCCCAGGUGGGUGAGCCUGCUUCCAUGUCCUCUGGACAGGGGACCAGGAAGCUGGGCAGAUGAUGUUUUGAGCAAAACCUCCUGGUCUAGGGUGGCUGGAGGCCAGAGCUCCUGUGCAAAGCCUGAAAAGCAUCUGUCUCAACCCAGCUGAGUCCUCUACACACAGCAUCCGCAGCAGGAGGGUGGUCUUGUCCAUCCACAUUUGUAAGGCUUUGCUCAGCUACAUUCUGGGAAUUCCCAAGGGCCAGGUCAUUUUAGUUCUUUGCUAAUUUAAGGCUUUUUUUCUAGUUUCUCUAUGCAGAUGGUCUUGAUCAGCCUGGGAAAGUGGUUACAUAAUGGGGCUCCCUUGUGUCUGACCCUGAGGUACAGCCAAUACAUUUCUGGAAGGCAGGCUCUCUCUCAGGAGCUGGGGGGUGUUUACUUUUCAGGGUUGCGGAAUGAGGGUUUCCAUAAAGAACAUGAGGUUAUCAAGCUUGACUUCUGAAUCAAUAGAGAUAUAAAUAAACAAGCCUGAAGACAAAACAGGAAGAACAAAUCCAGUCUUCACUGCAGCAGAUACCAUCUUCAUAAAUGUAUCUCACAUCGAAGCCCAGAAUUGCCUAGAUCACUCAGAAGUCACAAGUUAUUCAGUCCCUCAAAGAAUGUUGAGGUACAUACCCUCACUGUAGAAACUCAUGGUCAUGGUUUUUGUCUGUGUCCCCCAGGCCUCAUGAGUUUGAACUGUACAUUUGUUAUUCGUUCAAUGUCUAGCGCUUGGAUUGAUGGUGUCAGUGCUCCACCCACAAAGGGAUGGAGCCAGGAUGUGAUGUAAUGGCAGGAAGAAGGUGUCCCUUUCUCUUUGCGGUUCGAGCUUGCUGUUGGUGGCCGCCAUGAACUGCAGCCCAGCCAGGCCCGCCUGUCUUGGUUGGAGGCAACUAAGUGUGGACUGAAACCUCCAAAAACUUUAAGAAAUAAACCUUUCCUUUCCCAACUUUGGGCUUCAGGUAUUUUGUCUCAGCAACGAGCAUAAAGUAACUAAGACACUCAUCCAGACAGAGAAGAGAAAGGAGGGGCUGGGGUCUCGGAAGCCACCCCAGGGACAGGCAGGACCUCACUGCGAGGGUUAGUCCAUGAAGACAACAAGGUUCACGGUAGGGAGCCCACUAAUGACGGGCUGAGGGCCAGGCUGGCUGGAUGCACACUGCCUUUGCUGU